UACGGGGGGAGCAAACGUUGUUCGGAAUCACUGGGCUUAAAGGGCGCGUAGGUGGGUCGGCCAGUCUGCGGUGAAAUCCCCCGGCUCAACCGGGGAAUUGCCGUGGAUACUGCCAGUCUCGAGGAGGGUAGGGGCAUCUGGAACGAGCGGUGGAGCGGUGAAAUGCGUUGAUAUCGCUCGGAACUCCGGUGGCGAAGGCGAGGUGCUGGACCCUUUCUGACGCUGAUGCGCGAAAGCCAGGGGAGCAAACGGG
rnacentral:rRNA from 1 species